GACCAAGGAGUCUAGCAUGUGCGCGAGUCAUUGGGACUCUGAUAAACCUAAAGGCGCAAUGAAAGUAAAGGUCCGCCUCGCGCGGACCGAGGGAGGAUGGGUCGGUCCACGGGMCGGCCCCGCACUCCCGGGGCSUCUCGUUCUCAUCGCGAGAAGAGGCGCACCCAGAGCGUACACGCUGGGACCCGAAAGAUGGUGAACUAUGCCUGGUCAGGACGAAGUCAGGGGAAACCCUGAUGGAGGUCCGUAGCGAUUCUGACGUGCAAAUCGAUCGUCGGAACUGGGUAUAGGGGCGAAAGACUAAUCGAACCAUCUAGUACGUGGUUCCUUCCGAA
rnacentral:rRNA from 1 species